rnacentral:rRNA from 1 species
UACGGAGGGUGCAAGCGUUAUCCGGAUUCACUGGGUUUAAAGGGUGCGUAGGUGGGCAGUUAAGUCAGUGGUGAAAUCUCCGGGCUCAACCCGGAAACUGCCAUUGAUACUAUCUGUCUUGAAUAUCGUGGAGGUAAGCGGAAUAUGUCAUGUAGCGGUGAAAUGCUUAGAUAUGACAUAGAACACCAAUUGCGAAAGGCAGCUUACUACCCGAAUAUUGACACUGAGGCACGAAAGCGUGGGGAUCAA